rnacentral:lncRNA from 1 species
CCCACUUCAUGCCUGGAUUUCCGGCCAGCAUUCUUUGCAGACAGCUCUGGGAUGUCUAGUGGAAAUAAUCAUAUAGUCUCGGGAGGAUCAUUGUGAGGAUCAAAUAAGACAAUGUGUGGCGAGUCUCCAGCAUAGUGCCUCACAAUCGUUCUGUGGAUUUGGAAUAGAGACGGCAGGAGUGGCUUGCCACUGUUCCAUGAUAUCUCGUGCCUGGAUAGCUGGGAGCGACACAGCAGUUGGGUGAUAAAAUCAUCUGAAGGCUCCUUCACUCACAUGCCUGGUGCCUGGCCUGGGAGCACUUGAACGUGAGCACCAUUGACUAGAGCACCCAUCCAGGGCCUCUCCUUGUGGUGUGGCUUCCUCGCAGCAUGGCGACCUCAGGGUAAUCGGACUUCUAACAUGGAAGCUCGGAGUUCCCAGUGCAAGUGCUUCAGGAGGCAACACAGAAGCUCCACGGCCUUUUAUGACCUGAAGUCGUGCAGCAUCACUUCCACUGCAUUCUAUUGGUGGCAGUCAAGUCACAGAUUCAAGGGAAGGAGAAUUAGACUCCAUGUCUUAAGGGGUUAGUGGCAAGGUUCUAGAAGAGCUUGGAUGGGAGAUGUUGUGAUCUCUUCAUCUUUGGAAAAUAUAAUCGGAAAAUAUAAUCGGGAUUCAUGUUGCAGAAUUUGAAGUCACACGUGGUCAGUGCUCUGCACUUUGCAAACAAAGUCCAGGAGGGGAAAAAUCUUUUCUCAUGGAGGUGAAUCUGGUUGCAUUCUAGCCAAACCUGGAAAGAUGAGACAGACAAGCAGGAACUAAAUUAGGCAGAGGAGACUGCGUUUUAAUACACGGGGGUAAGAAAGUAUGGGAAAAUGUGACCACAGCCUUGAACCUACGGGAUUGGAGAGGGGCUUGGGGGGGAAGGAGGCAAGCUCGAAAUGUAGAUGGAGGCCGAAUUUGUUUGAGCAUUUGACUGACAAAGCGAAGGACCAGAAAAGCUGCUUCUCUCAGUGCCUCCUGCCAUCCCCCUCCCCUCAGUAGUCCCUCUACAUUUAAAAAUCUUAUUAGUAUCACUUUAAAUCAGGUGAGCACUCCUUUGCUCUUUUGGAUGUACUUAGGCAUAAAUGUACUUUGCUAUCUCUUGGGUUCUCAUUUUCACACUAUUACAUCUUUGUGUACUUUAUCUCGGCCCCGCCCUACAGCUUUGAUUUUUCCCAUGACCUUAUUCAAAACAUAAAGAGAAUAGACCCACUUGACUCUCUUUCUUCCUGGUUUUCUUCUUCAUUCAUUCCAUCUCUCUCCUUGCUCUGUAAAACUGCCCUUGAUUCAGCAUCACACAUUUUAAUCUUUAGUUGUGUGUGUUACUCGUAUUUUAAAGAGCCUACACCCUGGAUGCUGACUUAAAAAUUUUUCCAGGCAAAUUUAUUGAAGGUUGGGGCGAUAUUUAAUCAUCUUUGUAUCUCCAGUGCCUAGCAAGAAGGCAAGAUUCAGUGGUUGGAUCAACACAAUCCAUAUCUGGAAGUACACCUGGGUGUUAUUCAAAUCAAGAGUCAGGAAGGAAAGGCAAUUUAAAAAUACACUCUCAGCAUCUGUAUUGGGCAAUUGCUACGGGGAAUAAAGAGACAAAGAAGCAGUCCCUCCCCUCAAUGAGCUUCCGAUCUACUGGUGGUGCCAAAGCCCUAACACAUGGAAAGAUAAAUAAUGACAGGCUGGUAGCAGAAUAAAGGCCUCCCUAAAAUGUCCACAUCUUAAUGGAAACUGUGAAUAUGUUACUUUACGUGACUAAAGAGGCUUUGAAGAUGUAAUUAAGUCAAAGCUCCAAGAUGGGGAGCUUAUCCUGGAUUAUCCAGCAGGGCCCAAUGUAAUCACAUGAGUCCUUAUAAAGGAAAGAGGGAGGCAAGAGAGUCCAACUUCCGCAAUAUGAGAGGAACUUGACCGGCCACUGUUGGCUAUGUGUCAAGAAAUGGAACCAGACGCUAGAAGCUGGAAAAGGCAGACAGGAACACAGCCCUGCCUACCCCUUGAUUUUAGUCCAGGAAGACCCAUCUCGGACUUCUGAUCUUCAGAUUGCAAGGUAACAAAUUCGUGUUGUUUUAAGCCACUUGCGGCAAUUUGUUACAGCAGCCACAGGAAACUAACACAAACAGCGAACUUAAAUGAGACAAAAGUUCAGAAAAUAGUGUCAUAGGUCAAUGUGCCAGAAAUUGCCAAAUACUGGAGUCUCUACGGUAAUGCCAUAUAUGGAUCCUCCCUCUCCCCCCAAAAAAACCUUACUUCUGCAAAAUCAAGCAUGAAAAAUAAUUGGGCUUAUGGGAAAAGUAGGGUUGGGGCAGAUCAUUAAAAACUUAUGGAACUUACACCCAGAGCACUAAUAAAAACAAUAACAAGCUAAUAAAAAUAUAAGAAGGGUUCAUCCCCACUGGCUUUGCAGCUACAUCAGUCAGUCCAUCCUUCACAGCUUUGUACCUGGGCUCACUUUCUCCUUGAGAAUGUAAAGUUCAUAAGGGCAUUUGUUUCUGAGAGUGACUUGCUUCAUUAAAAUUAAAAAUACAAUCC